ACUGUCAACCUGAAAGGAAACCCAGAGGCAGGCUCUCCAGGACAACUGUUUCUUGGAAUCUGCGUCCUCCUCCUUCUGGCUUUACUCCUUUACUUUGCUGAGCAGCCUUAGGAUUAAAACCCUCUUUCUGCUGCAACCCGUGGUGUUGGCGCAGUGACAUUCAUGCAUCAGGAAAUGGGCCCGCUAUGGCCACAACAGCAGAGAGAUGACUCUCCAAAGAGUUUCUCCAGGAAUGACGGGGAAUUGCAGUUUGGGAUAUGCGUGCUAUGGCAGACCACAGGCACAUCCAGAGAGGCUGGGACAGGAGAAGCUUCUAAAAAACAGAAAGGAGAAGCCCACCUAAGCUGCUUUGAAGCAAAGAGCAUAGGUGACGGGGACUUUGUGUUAGUCCAUUCUCACGGUCUUACGAAGAACUGCCUGAGACUGGGUAAUUUAUAAAGGAAAGAGGUUUACCUGACCCACAGUUCCACGUGGCUCAAGAAACUUAACAAUCACGGCAGAAAGGGAAGUAAACACGUCCUUCACCUGGCUGCAGGAGAGAGACGUGCUGAGCAAAGGGGAAAAAGCUCCUUAUAAAACUACCAGAUGUCCUGAGAACUCACUGUCACGCGAACAGCAUGCGGGUAACUGGCCCCAUGAUUCAAUUACCUCCCACCAGGUCCCUCCCACAACACGUGGGGAUUGUGGGAACUGCAAGCGGAGAUUUGGGUGGGGACACAGGCGGAGAUUUGGGUGGGGACACAGCCAAACUGUAUCAGGCUUGUUGCAGGAGUUGGCAUUCAUCUGGAGGUGAAGACGGCCCUUGUCAGGCAAGUGUCCUCGUGCAGGCAGCUUAGCGGCAGUACUGUGGUUUUGAGAAAUUCCGUAGUUUCUUUCCUGGCACACCUGGGAGAGCCCGUCCUUCGUGGCCUCCUGGCUCCAUUUUUCAGGGUUUGACAUAAGUGACUCCAUUUUGGUACUGGCCACUUUUGCACUGGAUAUCCACAGAUAAUGUCUUCCAGGCUGAGGUCUGUCAUUCCCACAGGUGCAAGGCUGAGCUAACUGCCGCGUGUGUGGCCUUAGGCCCCUCAGCAGCCAGGACAAUAUGUUUUUUCUUUUUUCUUUUUUUUUUUUUUUUUUGAGACAGAGUUUCCUUCUUGUUGCCCAGGUGGGAUUGCAGUAGCGCAAUCUUGUCUCACUACAACCUCCACCUCCUGGGUUCAAGUGAUUCUCCCACCUCAGCCUCCCGAGUAGUUGGGACUACAGGCGUGCGUCACCACAACCAGCUAAUUUUUGGAUUUACUAUUAAUACAGAUGGGGUUUCACCAUGUUGGCCAGGCUGGUCUUGAACUCCUGACCUCAAGUGAUCCACCUGCCUCGGCCUCCCUAAGUGCUGAGAUUACAGACGUGAGCCACCGCACCUGGCUGGUACCUUUUUUUUUUUUUUUUUGAGACAGAGUCUCACUCUGUUGCCCAGGCUGGAGUGCAGUGGCACUAUCUUGGCUCACUGCAACCUCCGCCUCCCAGGUUCAAGUGAUUCUUCUGCCUCAGCCUCCAGAGUAACUGGGACUACAGACGCGUGCCAGCACGCCUGGCUAAUUUUUGUGUUUUUGCAGUAGAGAUGGGGUUUCACCAUGUUGGCCAGGCUGGUCUUGAACUCCUGACCUCAAGUGAUACACCCGCCUUGGCCUCCAAUAGUGCUGGGAUUACAGGCGUGAGCCACUGCGUCCGGCCGGUACCUACUUUUUUUUUUUUUUUUUUUGAGACAGAGUCUCGCUCUGUCACCCAGGCUGGAGUGCAGUGGCACGAUCUCGGCUCACUGUAAGCUCCGCCUCCUGGGUUCAUGCCAUUCUCCUGCCUCAGCCUCCUGAGUAGCUGGGACUACAGGCGCCCACCACCACGCCCAGCUAAUUUUUUUGUGUAUUUUUUGUAGAGACGGGGUUUCACCAUGUUAGCCAGGCUGGUCUUGAUCUCCUGACCUCAUGAUUUGCCCGCCUCGGCCUCCCAAAGUCUUGGGAUUACAGGCGUGAGCCACCGUGCCCGGCCGCAGUUACCUACUUUUAUAACAUAUUUGUGGACCAGAUUUGGCCCCUGAAUGAAAAUCAAAUGAUUAAGGAAAUCAAUGACUAUUUUCAGCAAUAUGGUUAAGUCAGAUCACCUGCAAGAUCUUCUCAAUGAAACAAUAAAAGAUCUGUAUAAUGUGUUUUAUUGGUAUUAUUAUUAUUAUUUUUGAGACAGGGUCUCACUCUGUUGCCCAGGUUGGAGUACAGAGGUGCAAUCAUGGCUCACUGCAACCUUGACCUCCCGGGCUCAAGUGAUUCUCCUUCCU
rnacentral:lncRNA from 1 species